rnacentral:rRNA from 1 species
UACGUAGGGUGCGAGCGUUGUCCGGAAUUAUUGGGCGUAAAGAGCUUGUAGGCGGUCUGUCGCGUCUGCUGUGAAAAUCCGGGGCUCAACCCCGGACUUGCAGUGGGUACGGGCAGACUAGAGUGUAGUAGGGGAGACUGGAAUUCCUGGUGUAGCGGUGAAAUGCGCAGAUAUCAGGAGGAACACCGAUGGCGAAGGCAGGUCUCUGGGCCACUACUGACGCUGAGAAGCGAAAGCAUGGGGAGCGAACAGG